rnacentral:misc_RNA from 1 species
GUCGAAAACGACGGCGAAAGAAGGGUAGUUGAGAUCGUUAACACUGUACUUCUUCUUGGGGUCGCAAGUGAAAUCUCUCCUUGCCAAUGAGUUGAUCUGCGACGGAGUAUAGUUGAGUGCGCAUAGGAAGUUUAGGUAAUCGUCCACCGUUAGAUCGUAAACAAGACCCGGAUUGAGAGCUGAUACGGGAUCGACGUGUCCGGCUCCGUGAUCGAAUGCGGUGGAUGGUUUUCCGGUGGCUAUAUCUUGGAUCUUUUGGCCGUUUUUGUAGGCUGUGUAGGCUGUUGUCAUCAACGCCGAUCGAAUCGCCGCCGGACUCCAAUCGGGAUGAGCGCCCUUGAUCAGAGCGGCGAGACCGCUCACAUGGGGGCAGGACAUGGAGGUUCCAGAGAUAAUGUUGAAAUCCACUCGUCUGUCAUCAAUGGCUAAACCACUUGGUCCCACUGAUUUUGACCAUCCAGCUAAGAUGUUGACGCCAGGGGCUAUUAUGUCGGGUUUCAGCAACUGAGGAGUGAUCGAAUUUGGUCCUCGGGAGCUAAACGCCGCCACCACCGGCGAUGGUUCGAUCCCCAAUUUAGUCCCUUCGAAUAAGAUCGUCACCGUCGGAUUGGGCUCCGAAAUGAGAUACUUCCGUAUAAUGUCACCGGAUUUCUGACCGACAGCCGUGGCCGGCAGAAGAUGAGAGUCAGCCACCAGCUCUUCUCCAUUUGCGGCAGUAUUGGCCAGCACCAUUCCGAUUCCACCUGCAGCCUUGACGACCGCACCUUUCUGAACCCUAGGGUUUACACCUCGGUCGCAGAAAACGAUCUUUCCGGCGACUUUUUCAGGGAUCAAAGUACCGGUCAUACACAAAUUGCCAUUACCAGAG